AAAAUUUUAGUUUAACUUUGGAAAAUUUUUUUUUUACAAAAAAGAGAUAUUAUAAUUAUAUUAAAUUUUA
rnacentral:tRNA from 1 species